CCCGCGGGGCCCGGCCUCUCCCCCGCGCCCCAGCCCGGAGCCCGCGCUCCGAGCCCGCCGCGCCCCCAGUCGACGGAAGGUGGCGCUUCAACACCGCGCCUGGGCGGGCACGUGGGCCUCCUUCGCUCGCAUCCAGCCUUCCUCUAAGGCGGAGAAAUCGAUUUCCAGCCCCAGAGGCUGCGCUCCCAUCCCCCUGUCGCUUUCCCCUGCCCUGCUUUCCCCUGUCGCGUCCUCCUCUCCCCGUCUGUUUCCCUCCUCGGAGGCGUUUGGAGACGCCGCGCGCGCCCCGCCCCAGGCGCGGCCGGAGUAACGGUCUGCUGGGUGGGUCCGGCCACUGCCGGGGCCCGCAGGCUCCGGCCCGGCUCCCGCGCGGGGAGGCGCAGGGACCCGCUCCUUCCUGACCGCCGGCCCCCGCCCCUCGUCCUGCUGUCCCGCGGCGGCGAGCAGGCGAGCCUGGUGGCGACCGCACGCACCAAAGGUGCCCGAGAGCGUCCAGUCGGAGCGGCAGCCGCGCUGGCGGCGCCGUCGGUCUUGCGGGGAAACCCCGCUCGCUUUGUGUGCUUCCGCUUCACGGAUCCUCGCGGGGUGAUGAAAAGGAACAGCCGUUUCCCCGGUAUUGUCUGUGCGCAGCCUGUCUGCCGCAGCGGCCCGGGACCGGCCCCAGAUGGUCCGGAAUCACCCACAGGAGCCCCUUGCUAGGGUCCGAAAAUCACCCACGCCUACGCCGCUCCGGGCCCCGCACCCCUGGAGGAUCGGAUCUGUGUCGAGGGCUGGGGCCCGCGCGAGCGCGGAUCGCCGUUUGGAAAACUCCACGGCUGUGCGCGUCCUCCGCCCCUCCCCCGCCUCCCAUUCAUCUUAAAGAAAAACCGUGCCCCGAAUGCUUGGAGUAUCCCGGCCCGUUGAAGUCUCGGUUCUGCCGGCAGUUCUUUGUGCAGGCGCCAUCGGACCCGGAAACGUUUGCAGUCGCUCGUACUGCGAGACCCUAAGCCAGGGUGCGGGCAUCGGCCUGGCUCCAGCAGGGCGAACGCAGUCUCCUGCCUUUCCCUGCCUCGGUCACUCUCCGCGGCUGCUGGGGACUCCAGGAAGAGGGAAAAGGAGACAGGGAGGGAGAGAUCUUCCAUCUGCUGGUUCACUCCCCAAAUGAUUGCAACAGCCAGGACUGGGCCAGGCUGAAACCAGGACUGGGAAAUUCCAUCUUGGGGUCCCAGCUGGGUAUCGGGAACCGGUGUACAACUGAGCCACCAGCCACUGUGUUCCAGCUGUGUUAGCAGGAAGCUGGGUCCGAGUGGAAGAGGAAGCUGACCAGCUGCUCCAGUGUGGGAGGUGGGUGUUCCAGAUCGCCCAGCUUCAGCCUGCAGGAAUGUUGCGUCACAGGAAACGCAUCGGGCUCAGAAGCUUUCUUUUGCUCCAUUGCCGAUGUGUUUUCUAAAAGCAGGACCCCAGCAUUCUGAUUCUGUUUCCCAAGAUUUUUCCAUCCAAUAUGAUGCAAGACUCCUGGGAGAAGCUGCACAAAGUGACCUAUUGAAACAUGUCAUUGUAGACAAUGAGGGCAUUUCUUGGAUUUGCCCGUGGGCAGGUUGAGGACAUCUCAAAACAAAUAUGAGUCUUUGUAGGGGUGGUUGUGUCCAGCGUGGUCCAUGGGUGACUCUCAGGGUGCAGGAGGGAAAUCUGUCCAUCCCCUUUCCUCCAUAGGAGCUGCACAGGGAGAGGACAACCUGACUACGGAGCCAACGCCAAAUGCAAGGCCAGGCAAAGGGGAGGGUUUCUUCUCAGUUUUAAAAUACAUUUCCCCCUCCUUAAAAGCUGAGUACAUAGGUCUCGUUCCUCAGAAGGGAGUUAUGUCCCACCUUUUGGAAGAAUACCAUAUAUAUUUGGUAUUAUUCUUGGGACUUGGUUCUGCCAAUCUUAACAGCAUAUAGCAUGCCCAUAUUUAACCUCUCGCAUGCAGAGGAUAAAAAGAUACUCAGUUCUCUGAGUGAACAAAUGGCAGCACAAGAAAAGCAGUGAGGUGUCUAUUUUUGGAUCAAGCUGUGAAGAGUAGGCUCUGAGUAUAAAUAGCUCAUACAGUAUUUCCUGGGCAGACAUUUGAGUGCUCAAUGACCUCAGCUACAGCUUGUUUGUUUUGUUAACGUUCAUUACAUCCACUCUAUAGAAAACUUUGUAAAAACGGUUUAGCAAUUGUCUUAUAGUACACGCUGAAGUUCAAGUAAGUGAUAGGAACAAAAACUCCUGCUCCACUGACGUUGCCCAAGUCUGAAUUUGACCACACCUUUCAGAAUUGAAAGCAUUAGAACCAGGCUUUGUCCUGAGUCCAAAGACCACGGGAGACAUCUCAGGUGUGUAGGAAAAAUGGCAGGGAAUGCAUUCUACUUUCAGUGAUUUUCUUCAUUAUUCAUAUCCGCAGUGAUAGUCUUCAUAAUGAUAUUCUUUACAAUGGCAGUCUUCAUGGACACUGCUUUUUUUGGGUGAAAUAUUGGCUGGAUUAUAAGUACAUUUCCUUGCAGGCUGCCCUCCAUAACGUGGAAGUACAUGGUGGAGUGUUUAGCACAGAGAAUUUAAUCGGAAGUUCUGACUUGAUUGAUUAGAAUCUUCACCUACUGAGUUUGGGGGCCUGAGAAUAGGCAGGUGACCCGGAGCCGGGCUCAGCUUCAUCCCUGGGAAAGGACUGUCUCCCACUGCGUUGAAGGCUGUCCUGAGGUUGAGGAUAGAACACACGAGACUUUGCGAAGCUUCUGGAUGAUGAUAAAGCAUUUUUACAAAAAGGGGCCCAGGCCUUCCACCGAAGGGAUGCAGAAUUGGAGAAAGGAGGUGCUGCAGCUGUUCCUUCUGGAGAGGGGAGUGCUCUGUGUCUGUUCCCCAGGUGGCCUUUGAAUCCGGAGUUGGCAAACAAGCAGAGGGAAGCUGAAGUGCAGUUGACUGGUAGUACCUGGGAAUUGCUCUCCUGAUAGGUUAGGGGCCUGGCUGCAAUUCACACAUGGAGUUCUAACAGCAUGAUAUCCCAGUACUAAUCAUGGGAAAAUUGUGGGAUCCCCCCUCCAGGCAGGGAGUGGUCAGCAGGGCACCUGAACUGGCAAGGCUCACUCUGCUGGGGAUCAGCUGCCACACACGUCGCUCACUGAAGCUGAUUUUGCUCCCCACACUGUUCAUAGCAAUCAUAAAGUUUAACUAUGUUCAGAGUUUUCAUAAAAUAGGGAGUCAUCAGGAAGCAAUGCUGUUAGCUGCAGAAUACCCCUUGUGAUUAAUGUCAUCAUCUGUGCCUGCAGUCCCUGCAGAAGAGCGAUGAGGCCAAACUUCACAACACCUCAAUCUCGGAAACAUGUGGUUCUCUUCUGCAGCCACCUGUCAGGUGGGAUGGCGCUGUUCCCAUGAUUCUUUUCAGGGCCUCAAUCAGGUCUUUUUUUAAAAAAAUAUUUUAUUUAUUUACUUGAGAGGCAGAGUUACAGACAGAAAGAGGGAGAGACAGAGAGAAAGGUCUUCCAUACGUCGGAUCAUUCCCCAAAAGGCCAAAAAAGCAGGAGCUGGGCCGAUCUGAAGCUGAGCCAGGAACUUCCUCCGGGUCUGCCACGUGGGUGCAGGGGUUGAAGCACUUGGGCCAUCUCCCACUGCUUUCCCAGGCCACAGGCAGAGAACUGGAUUGGGAGAGGAGCAGGUGGGAACACGACUGAUGUCCAAAUGGGAUGCUGGCACCACAGGCAGAGGCUUAGCCACUACACCCCAGCACCAGCACCUCAAUCAGGUGUUAAUAUUUGUUUCUGUGUAUCAGAUAGGUGCUGAUGAGAGGACUGCACCACAGACUGUAGAUCAGAGUCUUAACAUGGUUUUGACUUUCCUGUUGGAUACUAUGCAGGUGGAGAACAGUGCUAGCCUCCAAUGAUGUUACAACUUUUGGUUGAGAGAGGUAGUCAGUAACUGAUUUUUAUAAUUCUGUUAACAGUCAAUUUUCUUUAGAAUGGCUCAGUCCUUGCUAAUGUCAUUCAAUCAAAUUUGUUCCUAAUUCAGGUUAUUCUGACUAUAGAUAGCAUAUAGAUAGCAUAUGACACACCUGUUUGAUUGAUUAAACAAAUAAUUCCCUUUACUUGUAUAAUAUGUCAUGAAUAUAUCUUUACAGAUCAAUGUGUGUCCCAGUAUUUUCUGCUGCAGAAUGCUAACACCCUUCAAUCACUUAUUCACUGUCUGUUUGUUUAAUAAACGCUGAUUGAGUAUCUAUGGGGUCCCAGCCACCAUCUUUGGAUCACCGGUGACCACUGUGGCUCCAAUAUCUGCUCAGCAUCUACUCACUGAGCCCUUAUUCUUUGCGGACAUUGGCUUGGGAUUCUGGCCGUCCUAGGACUUGUGGUUCUGUUGGGGGGAACACUCUCACAGGAUGUGUUUGUUCAUCAGGGAGAUAACGAUUAGAAAGCAGCUCUGUAAGGUGUUUUAC